rnacentral:lncRNA from 1 species
AGACAAUAGCUGUCCUAAUAGACGUGAGGCGUGUCUCACUGGAGAAACUGUAACACUUCCCACAGGAACAAACCUGGAUAUUUUUAUACCCUUGAGCUGACCUCCACUGAGCAGUUGGCAAGACAAAGGGAGACCCAGGAUCAAGCUGGAAGCCCAUCCUACGGAUGCUGUCAAGGUACUGGUUACCCACCAUGUACCAAAGAGGGUACUCGACGCCAGGGACAUGUGUUAAUGAAUCACUGUCCGUCCUGUCCAGCAGGGGGAGCCCGAGGACUAGAGGCGGUAACAGCCAAACCUACGCCUAAGACAACAUGGCAGGUGCUGCUGUGUUAUGGAGAACUACAAUAA